rnacentral:miRNA from 1 species
CAGUCGAGAUCUAGAAAAAGAUUA